CAUGGAGUCCCUCCGUUUGGAAUUACUUGUCGCAGAAAUGGAUGUUUCUAGACAUAUUUUAGUCUUAGAUACAUCCAUUUUAAUUCAUUUCCGUGACAAGUAAUUCGGGGCGGAGGGCAAC
rnacentral:pre_miRNA from 1 species